AUCUCCCUGAGUUUUAUGGCAGAGUAGAACUGGAAAAAGACUUAACACUGACAGGCAGCCUUUUAGAGUUUGAGGGUAAUUUGUUUAUCACAGACUCAAGAUCCUCAUGACAUAGAAUUACUUACUCCCCGAAAUAAAGAAGCUCAGCCUAAACUCCUCCAGUUUUCUUUUGGUAUUUCAGUGCUUCUGACAGGUUAGGAUGCUCCGUUCUCCCCAGUGAACUCUUGCUGUCAUUCACAUCUCAAGAAUGAGUACGGCCUUCAGGAAUGAGAGGGUGGGUUGUAUACAUUAGUGCUGGCCAAGUUUGCACUGUUUAUCUUACUGGAAAGUCAACAGUGUGACUAUUAACCUCCUGCACAAUUAAGAUGUAGGCUUUUUGUUAUGUUGUUCUUAAACAUGUCGCUAAAUCUGAUUUUUAUGAGGCAGAGAGAGAUGGGGAGAAAAAGGGAAAAUCUGGCCAUUCAGGGGGCUGAGAGGGAUCAACACCUGGAGCUGCUGUUGGAACUUGCAAGUCUGGCAGCCAGUGGCAUUGAGUGGUCAGGGAAGUCUAGAUCGGUCUGCAAAGGUACUUGGCCUGGCUGCGUUUGCUUUUACUUACCAGGUUAAGUGGGUCUUUUGAACAGAUGAGAUUUCUUUAGAGAAGCUGAAGGACAAUGAGACUUCUUUUUAAAAGAAGCCUUCUGCUCUUGAAAAAAGAGCACUUGUUAUUUAAAAAAUUAAAAAGGAAAUGCCUUAUAGUUAAACCUUUAGGUUCCAGUGGUCAUCAACUCAUUCCUAGUAAAAUGAGCUGAACAGUAAAUACGAGGCACAAAGAAUGAGGAAGAAAACAGAGUUAAACAGAAGUGGCUGAGGGCACACAUUCCAAAGCACCACUCCCUGCUGCCUCCUCCUGCAGGUAUGGCCCCAGACAAUUUGAUGAACCAAGGAAUUUUCUUGUAAUAACGAUAGAUUACCUAUUGCAUAGAUAACAUUAUUUACACCCCCAGAAUGUGUCCUCCCCUCCUUUCCUAUGUUCGUGUUGAUUACUGCCACUGCUAUUUGCUAACAAACACUGUAUGAUACUGUGCACUUACUCUGUGCCUCUCAGGUUCUCAGUGACUUUUUAUGAUGAACCUUUGUGAUGGUCUGUAUUUUUAUCAGAGGAAUUAGGUAAAUUGCUCAAAGUUGUGCAGCCAGCAACAUUUACAACUAAAAGACUUCCUUAAAGAGGAGAAACACUGGUUUGACUUUCAGUGACCAUCUGCUGACUCCCUGAAGUUUACAGCUCUUCCAGCACUUUCUGCAUGACAAAUCACAUCUUCCUAAUAGCCUGCACUAUGAAAUUAAUAAGGAGUUCCAUCUCUACAUAGUGUUCCUCAAGUAUAACUUCUGCUCCCCACCCCACCCUGCCCUGCGAUCACUGGAUAUAUUCAAUUAAGUAAGAAUUACGUUUCAGGUUUGUAGAGAAUGAGGUCCUUCUGUGGCUCAGCAUCAAUGCCUCGAAUUUGGGCUGGAGAAAUAAAAGAUGAUGGUAUUCAUCCAGCAUCUGACCCACAGUAGGUACUUAUUAGUAAAUACUCUUUGCAAAGAGGUGUGGUAUAAUUUGAGAGAAAGUAGCCCUGACUAAAUUUUUGGAUAGAGUGGACUUUAUUCAUCCAUGCUGGCCCUGAACUGCGUUUAAGAACUAGUUUAGUCUGUCUUUGUUUUUAAUGUUUAUAUAUUUUUGAGACAGAGCAUGAGCGGGGGUGGGGGUGCAGAGAGAGAGACAUACACAGAAUCCAAAGCAGGCUCCAGGCUCUGAGCUGUUAGCACAGAGUCCAACACAGGUCUCGAACUCAUCAACUGUGAGAUCAUGACCUGAGCCAAAGUCCAAUGCUCAACCCACUGAGCUACCCAGGCGCCCUGCUUAGUCUCUCUUUGUUGUUUUUUAAGUAAUGACCAGUUUCUUCAUCCAUCCAUGGGCUCAUGGUUCAGUACUGUCAGGAAACAUCGUUCAUUUCUAUCACAGAGUGUCAGGUUGAAUUGUCCUCCCUGGAACCCGUGUCACCUCGGAAAGCCUAGGGGAUGAAGAGAAGCAGUUCUUAGACAGCAACAGAUGUUUCUACAAGUGAAGUUUUGCUUUGUACUCAGGAUUUGAUCUGACGCACCAGAUUAUAAAACCAAGAAUAAAGGAAGGGAGGAUUUUGGAGAAGAUGGAAAAGGACACAUUUCUGAGUUUUCUGUGUGCUAGCAGUGUUGUUACCUGUAGGCAGGAAGUUCUAGGUCUACUGAUGGCUUUGUUCCUAUAGGCUUUUCAUAGUUCACAGUAAUUGGCAAUAUGUGACUUUUUAGAUUUAAGUGAUGGAUUUUUAGCCUCCCUGAAAGAGAUGUUUAAAACACCAUGGCACAGAGCAAUACUUAGCAGCCUCUGCCAUAGCCAUCAGCAUUGUGUGCUCAGGCAUCUGAUACUGAGUAAGGGAGACUUACUUUAGAAUGGUGGUGAUGAUUGGGCAUUCAGGUCACUU